rnacentral:ncRNA from 1 species
GCAGGUGACUCAAUUAAGGGUCCUACUCAUUGUGAAAUGAGUAUGCAAACCGGGUGAACUCAGGGAACGCUAAACUCUCUUCAAAAGAGCAGGUCAAUCCUGAGCCAAGCUGAAUGAAAGCGGUGGCAAUGUAAUUCAGAAGGUGCAGAGACUAGAGGGUGAGGAAAGCAACCAAUAACCCCUCAUAAGUGCCCGGCUCGCAGAGAAACUUCGGCGAGAUGAUAUAGUCCGACACUCUGGAGAAAUCUGGAG